UUCAAUAUAAUGGUAGCACGCAACUGAAGGUCGCACGGAGUUUGAGGUUACUCAAGUUUCUCGACGGAAUCAAGUAGGCCGUGAAAAGUUGAGGUGACAGUCCUAUCCUCAAAAUUCUGGCUAUUAGCUCCUUCACCCUUAAUUUUGCGAAAAACCCUUAACAAUUUAAACGUCAAACUGACGGACGAGUCCAUUUCGAAAAAAUCGAAGGGGAGUCCCAGGUCGCGGCGCUAUUUUUACGAAAAUUUGCGAAAAUACAAGCAACGGACGGGAGAAAUCGACGAAAUUGUCUUUACGAAGCGUAAAUAUAAGCUUUACGAUAAGUAAAAGUCAUAUGCGAAGUUGCUUCCCGCCGCCGGAAACGGCGAUGCGCCGUCGAGAUUCUAUAUUUGUCGCCGGAGGCGACGAUGCGCCGAAGGCGCAUCGUCGAGAUAUUAUUCGCACGGCGAUGCGCCGCAGGCGCAUCGUCGAGAUUCUAUUUUGCGUCGGAGACGGCGAUGCGCCUCGUCGAGAUUUUACACUAAUUUCUCACAUUUUGGGGGUCUCUCAUAUAAUUCCAAGUCUCGAGACUUUCUAUGUAAUUGGUAGCAGUUUGUGGAACUGUAGUAGUUCCACAGAGCUGUGAGUAGUUCUAAUGUAUAGUUUUUAUAACCUUGCUUUCUUUUAAUGUUUACAUUAACUGGAGAGAGCUUAAUCUUAUUGUAAACCUUUUUGUUAUUGUUAAAUAUAGUUUCAAAGCUACCUAGUUACAAUCAAAUGGCAUCAGGUAUACAUUUCCAAACGGAAGAAAUUAUCUCUCGUGAAGUUUGUUUACGUUUCGCAUCUGCAAAACGUAGGCCUGAAUGAAAUGAAAAUACAACCCUAUUUUUUAUAGUACCAUAUCGUUCGUCGAAAUUAUACGUGAAGACAAGUUCUAAAGGUACAGAGACCAGAUAUAGAGAUCGUAUUUGCGACAUGUAAUUUACAAGUACGUCCCCAUUUUACCUUCGAAAGGGGGAAAGACAUAUAAUCCAAUCCAUUGAUGUUCAUUAAACCGAAAUGUUAUGUAGUUUUAAGUAUAGAUACAAAUGACAUUAGGCUGGCCACAUUAAAAUCAUUUCCAUUGAAAGUUUAUGUAGGUACCUACUCAUAUUAACGUGUCUUGAAUUGUACUUACAAUUUCAAAGAAAAAUCCAUUAACGUUUAGGAAGGAAACUUCAAAGUGUAUAAAGAUUGCGUUAUUAAUAAAAGUCUAAUUCUA